rnacentral:rRNA from 1 species
UCGACGUNCGGAUUAUUGGGCGUAAGAGCUCGUAGGCGGUUUGUCGCGUCUGUCGUGAAAGUCCGGGGCUUAACCCCGGAUCUGCGGUGGGUACGGGCAGACUAGAGUGCAGUAGGGGAGACUGGAAUUCCUGGUGUAGCGGUGGAAUGCGCAGAUAUCAGGAGGAACACCGAUGGCGAAGGCAGGUCUCUGGGCUGUAACUGACGCUGAGGAGCGAAAGCAUGGGGAGCGAACAGGAUUAGAUACCCUGGUAGUCCAUGCCGUAAACGUUGGGCACUAGGUGUGGGGACCAUUCCACGGUUUCCGCGCCGCAGCUAACGCAUUAAGUGCCCCGCCUGGGGAGUACGGCCGCAAGGCUAAAACUCAAAGGAAUUGACGGGGGCCCGCACAAGCGGCGGAGCAUGCGGAUUAAUUCGAUGCAACGCGAAGAACCUUACCAAGGCUUGACAUGUUCUCGAUCGCCGUAGAGAUACGGUUUCCCCUUUGGGGCGGGUUCACAGGUGGUGCAUGGUUGUCGUCAGCUCGUGUCGUGAGAUGUUGGGUUAAGUCCCGCAACGAGCGCAACCCUCGUUCCAUGUUGCCAGCACGUCGUGGUGGGGACUCAUGGGAGACUGCCGGGGUCAACUCGGAGGAAGGUGAGGACGACGUCAAAUCAUCAUGCCCCUUAUGUCUUGGGCUUCACGCAUGCUACAAUGGCCGGUACAAUGGGUUGCGAUACUGUGAGGUGGAGCUAAUCCCAAAAAGCCGGUCUCAGUUCGGAUUGGGGUCUGCAACUCGACCCCAUGAAGUCGGAGUCGCUAGUAAUCGCAGAUCAGCAACGCUGCGGUGAAUACGUUCCCGGGCCUUGUACACACCGCCCGUCAGUCACGAAAGUCGGUACACCCGAAGCCGGUGGCUAACCCUUGUGGGGGAGCGUCGANUGGACAGCGAUGGACUAUCANUGG